GAAAGGUUAGCUAAUACCGCAUACGAUCGUCGAGCGGCAUCGCUUGACGAUGAAAGGAGCAAUCCGCAGAGAGACGGGACCGCGUCCCAUUAGCUAGUUGGUGGGGUAAUGGCCUACCAAGGCGACGAUGGGUAGCUGGCUUGAGAGAGCGACCAGCCACACUGGGACUGAGACACGGCCCAGACUCCUACGGGAGGCAGCAGUGAGGAAUUUUCCGCAAUGGGCGAAAGCCUGACGGAGCGACGCCGCGUGUGGGAAGAAGGCCUUCGGGUCGUAAACCACUGUCGAAGGGGAAGAUAUUGACGGUACCCUUGGAGGAAGCCCCGGCUAACUACGUGC
rnacentral:rRNA from 1 species